rnacentral:rRNA from 1 species
AUAUAAGUAAGCGGAGGACAAGAAACUAAACAGGAUUCCUAUAGUAAUGGCGAAUGAACAGGGAACAGCUCAGAAUGAAAAUUGGGGCCUCUGGCUUCGAGUUGUAGCCUUGUGAAGCAACACUAACAGAGGUGCAGGUGUAAGCCUCUUGGAAGAGAGCAGCUGUGCGGGUGAACAUCCUUUGCAUCAUCUGCAGUCCUCUGUGUACAGUGUGCUCUCUGAGAGUCACGCUCCUUGGAACUGGAGCGCCAAGUGGGUGGUAAGUUUCAUCUAAAGCUAGACAUUGGCUUGAGACCGAUAGCGCACAAGUA